rnacentral:rRNA from 2 species
UGCAAGUCGAACGAUAGUUUCCAGCUUGCUUCUCACGAAAGUGGCGCACGGGUGCGUAACGCGUAUGCAACCUACCUUAAUCAGGGGGAUAGCCCGAAGAAAUUCGGAUUAACACCGCAUAAAAUCACAGUAUAGCAUUAUACAAUGAUCAAAUAUUUAUAGGAUUAAGAUGGGCAUGCGUGACAUUAGUUAGUUGGCGGGGUAACGGCCCACCAAGACCACGAUGUCUAGGGGAUCUGAGAGGAUGACCCCCCACACUGGUACUGAGACACGGACCAGACUCCUACGGGAGGCAGCAGUAAGGAAUAUUGGUCAAUGGAGGCAACUCUGAACCAGCCAUGCCGCGUGCAGGAAGACAGCCCUCUGGGUCGUAAACUGCUUUUAUUCGGGAAUAAACCUAUCUACGUGUAGAUAGCUGAAUGUACCGAAGGAAUAAGGAUCGGCUAACUCCGUGCCAGCAGCCGCGGUAAUACGGAGGAUCCAAGCGUUAUCCGGAUUUAUUGGGUUUAAAGGGUGCGUAGGCGGCUUAUUAAGUCAGGGGUGAAAGACGGUGGCUCAACCAUCGCAGUGCCUUUGAUACUGAUGAGCUUGAAUAUACUAGAGGUAGGCGGAAUGUGACAAGUAGCGGUGAAAUGCAUAGAUAUGUCACAGAACACCGAUUGCGAAGGCAGCUUACUAUGGUAUUAUUGACGCUGAGGCACGAAAGCGUGGGGAUCAAACAGGAUUAGAUACCCUGGUAGUCCACGCCCUAAACGAUGAAUACUCGCUGUUAGCGAUAUACAGUUAGCGGCUAAGCGAAAGCGUUAAGUA